rnacentral:rRNA from 1 species
UUUUUAAAUUGCUGUGGUAUUUUGACUAUACAAAGGUAUUGUAAUAAGAUUUUAAUUGAAUGCUAAAAGAAUGGAAAUUUAAAAAAAAACUUUUUUAAAAAUAAAAAUUGAAUUUUUUUUAAUUUGUGCAAAAACAAUUAUACUUUUUAAAGACAAGAAGACCCUAAGAAUUUAAGAUUUUACAAUUAAAAAGUUUUUUUUUUAAAAUCUUGAUUGGGGCGAUCAAAAAAUAUUAAUAACUUUUUAAAAUUUAAAUUGAUCUAUUAUUAAUAAACUAAUGAAUUAAAUACUCUAGGGAUAACAGCGUAAUAAUUUUUGAUAGAUCUUAUUGACAAAAUAGUUUGCGACCUCGAUGUUGGAUUAGGAUUCUUUUUUAAUGAAGAAGU